CCUGCCUACUCUGGAAAAACUAUUUGGACCCUGGCAGAGCCCUGUGUUAGGGCCCCUUCACCCUUGAAAACAACUAAUAAAGGAUGGGGCUGAUGCUUCCUGGAGCAGAAACAACCUUUUUGUGUGACUGAACUUUCCAGCCUGGUACCUGUAAUGAAGGUUUGUAGGAAGUGAGAGCCAGGGGAAAAAAAAAAAAACAAAAACCAGAACAAACCCAGAAAAAGGAAACAGAAACAAAAGAAAGAAGAGGUAGAAUAUAGGAAGGGGAACAGGAGAAAGCACAAAGGUCCACAAAGAAAAGAUGGUGAAGCAGCAGGAGGAACACGGACUGACUACUGAAAAGAGCAGAUGAGCAAACAGGAGGAAGCCACAUCACAGCCUAUCAACAGGGACUUUCAGAAAGACUCAAUACUCAAGCAUGUACCCCUUGAAGCCACCGAAGGAGUGUGGAUAAGAAAUGCACAAAAAGGACUGACUUUGAUACUGGGCAAGCAUCUUUCAUUCUGUACUCAGCUCUG